rnacentral:telomerase_RNA from 12 species
CUUCGCGGGGUGUUUUAUCUAACCCUAAGUAAGGGCGACCUCAUGUACCUAAUGUUUGCUGUUUUUGACUCCGGCUUUCAGCAUGCUACAUGGGGUUUUUGAAAUAGCGUUGAAACCGUGUACGAAGCAGAAAAAGCCGAGACCAUCACUCCGCCACGUUCAGUGUCCCGUCAGAAACACCGUGAAUGACCCGCCGUGGUCAGCCUGGCUGCCGCGAAGAGUUGGCCUCUGCUGCUCCGGUGUUUUCUUGCCGGGAGUCUCGGUAACUGAGCAGAUGAAAACUGAGCAGGGCGGCUCUACUCGACCCAGCAGUGGUCUGGUUAGGAAGCCCAUGCUCAAACAUCC